UGUUUGGGUCAGAGGUGUCUUAGCUCUAGGGCAGGUGUCUGGGAGUGAGAGGUGUCACCUGCCAAAGCCUUGUAAGGCCUCUGGGUUUGUUCUGGAUAAAAAACCCUUGGCCCACUGUGAGCUGGGGGAUGAUAAGGGACAGGGACAACUAUGGCAGAGUGGCCAGGGAGGAAUAAGAGGAACCAUGACGUAUUUGCAUGAAUUAGGUGGUAGUCAGGGCCACAGAGGAGAGGUGAACAUUUCCUGAGGACCCACAGAUGAGGAAGACAGAGGUGUGAAUGGUGGCCUGGCCUGGAGACAUCUGGAUGGAGCUGCUGAGAGGAAGCUCAUGACAGUGGACUGCAUUCGCACCCUGAAGUGCUUAGACUCGUGGCUUGCCAAGAGGGCGUGCAGUUCUGCCAUGUUCUUGCUGCCCAAGAAAAAUGAAGUUACAGGAGCGUCCAGCUUCAGUCUGUCCCUGUCACUAGCCAUCCCCGAGUUCUCUCCCUGCCUGCGACCCACCUCUCAACACAUCCACUCAGGUAAGGCAUGGCUUUCUGUCUUCCUUAGCAACAUCCUGGGCAAGGGAGAAGGGCUGCUCCCACCUCUGCUUCAGAGCUGGACCUAGAGAUGUCCCUCCAUGUAGGGGACUCUGUGUCCUGAGUCUGGGUUCCCACAGCGUCCUCUUCUCUGUCCCCCUUGUCCUCCCACGGCUUACUGAGAAAGGCCUCUUUCACUCUUCCAGUCUGCAGUGACCUCACCCCGACCUCACCCUUGACCUCUAGCAGGCCCUGCAGGCUCCUGAGAAGUGUGAGCCCUGCUCACUUCCGGCUUCCAGCUUCUGCUCUCAGCCCUGCUCCUGGUCUGAGCUCAGCUCCUUCCCUCUGGAGCCGACAGCGUUUCCCAGUUCCCCGUCUUCCUGAGAUCACGAGGUUGUUCCCAGUGCUGUGUCUUUCCAUUUUAAUUUGUGGAAGGAUUGUGGGGGCCUGGAAAGUACAUCCCUCUGUGAGUGAUGCCAUGAAACUUAGCUUCAAAUUCCAAAAAUGGCAGGCAGAAGAAGCGAGACUCCUGUUAUUCGGUUUCUUUUAUCAGUCAACUGGAGUGAAGUUACUGUGGCAAGUUCAUCUUCCCCAGUGCCGCCCUGGAUGGGACUCCAGACCCGGGGCCUCUGUGCUGAGAGCUCUCUCUAUGCUCCUCCAACCCAGGCAGGCUCUCAGGAGGCACUCAGAUCCCUGGGCCUGUCACCUGCACAGUGUAAGGCAGGUCAGGCCAUCUCUCCCCAGGCAGAAGGCCUUCGCCUAAAGUGACCUCAUUAGAGCAUCCCUGGGGCUCUAGAAGCAGAGCCAACCACUCAGCUGUGCCCUGGCACCCUUUUCCUUGGAAACCUCCCUGUUUUCCUUUGACUGCUGAGGGCAGGGAGCACUCCAACAAUCUCCCUGUGGCAGACCACCAUGUGCCUUCUGUGUCCAGCAAGCGUUGGCCUUGGCCCCAGCAGGGCCCCGGGGGCCAGGCAUCCAGGGUGAGCUGGAGCCUUCAGUUCCACAGGCAGCAUUGGCUCCUUCUCCCACUGCCUCAGCCCUGCCUUGAGCUUUCUUCGCUUGAGCUGCAGAACUGAAUAAACACAGGGUGUGAGGAUGGAUCCUGCCUGGCUGUGCAUCCCUGACUCCAGCUGCUCUGAGCCCCGGUUGCCAAGAUCUACAGCGUUAAGAUGCCUGAGGCCAUCCAGGCCUCCACCAGAGCUGACUGCAGAAGGGAUCUGCCUGAUUUCAAAUGGGGCCACUUCCUGCGUGGUACAGCCGCAUGAAAACCCUGGAGGCUCGUGUCCCUGCCACCCUGUGAUUUAACCCAGAAGAUGCUAGAGCCCUGAAGGACUAUAGUGCUGGACUUCUCAUGAAAUGUACACACGCCUCUUUUAAGGUCUUCCUUCUUUCCUGUGGGUCUGCAUGUCCUUUUGAGCUCACGGCUCUCCUGCCUGACAGACUCCUCUGGGUGUUCAUCUCAGUGCAGAGUGGCCUCUUCAUUUCUGCUUCUUUAAAAAUGUGUCCAUUUUGUCUGCAGUGUUUCUGAUGGGAAACCCGGAUCACGGCUGCGGGCCCCAUGCCGUGGCACGCCUUCAGAGCUUUAAUAGCUGCCAUUCCAUUUCCUCCUACUUCCAUUGUUCCCUUGACAAAUCGGCCGUUCCCCAACUGUUUCUUCCUUCGCCGGGCAUGGCUGGCUUUGCUCCACAAGAACAGCAAACGUUCUUAAUGGCUGAGCCCCCUCCAGUCCUUCCUUUGGGAAUUUUAAUUACGCAUUCUCCGUUUCUCCACAGUACCCCACACGCCCUAGUGUGCUUCUUUGGUUUCUUGAGGGUUUUGUUCCGUACCUCCUCAGCCUUGAUCGUUUUAGCAAACUUCCGUGUGCCUCGUCUAAACAAUCUGUACCAGCCUCGUGCGGCGUCCCUUGGAACUUGCUCUUUAAUUUGACGCCCUUUGGCUGUAUUUUCAAUUUCAAUUCAUCUGAUAAUGUACCUCAGCUUUUCAUUUAAAAAAAAUUGCUAAUUGAUGUUGCAAAUUUGUCAUUAGCCACUUCAGUGACCAAGCACCCAGGGCCUCCUGUUGCCUGUUUUUCCACCACUUGGCAUCUGGUUGCUUUCCCCUGUGAGGUCUGCUAACCUUCUUGUGAGAGACACUGGACACUGUAGUCUUUUCAUGAUGUUGUUUAUGGUGGAGGUAGGCACCUGUUCACGCCCAGAGUUAAAACACUUUAGGCUGACCUUCACCUUCACAGUGCAGAGUUUAUGUCGGCUUGUUCUUCUUGUGAUACAACCUCCUAAGGGACUCAACAGAAAGCCCUGUGUGUUUUCUGGAACUCUGUGUUGUUGAGCCUUGAACUCCAACUUCCCUUGUAACAACAUCUAUGAUAUGGGUGACACCCACGCCUAGUUCAGCUCAGUCCCUGAGCGCUGCGCUCUGUGCAACAUAUGCCCCCUCAGAGUUCUCUGGGCACCAAGUGCUGGUGCAGACAAACUUGGCUGCCAGGACUUCUCUUUUCCUCUUGCCCCUGGCUUUGGGUGUCGACUUUGGUCUCCCCCAGCUCCUGAGCCUAGCACACAACUCUCAACCAGCUCAAUGGCGCUCACACAUUGCUCAAAGAAGAGAAUGAUGGAGCCACCUCUGCUUGGUUUGCUUUUUCUCUGGGGCACAAACCUCAAAUCCUGGCAACCUGGGUUGCCUUUUGAGUGAGGCUUUCAAAAAAUAGCCCCCACCCCCUGUCUGGGUUUGUAUACGUCUGUUCUUUCUAACUCUCCCUGGCUCUGCGUGUUUGCCAGAAGCUAUUCCAUCAGGUUGGACUAGACAUGGGGACCUUCUUAGGUUUCAAUGAGGCAGCAACACACGGAGAUCUGGGGUCGGCAGACUGACCUUAUCUCCAACCUAGAUGAGGGCAGAAUUAUUUCAGCUGUUGACUUCUCAAGAGAACUGAGGGCUGGGGAUGUCGCUCAGUCAGGAGAGUACCUGCCUAAUAUGCACAGAGCUCAGUGUUCAAUCCUCAGCAUCGCAUCCAACCUGGUCAGAUGGCACAGCACUCGGGAGGGGCAGGCAGGAGGAUCAGAGAUCGAGUCAUCCUCCUCUACAAAGAAAUUUGAGCAGGAGGCCCUUUGUAGGCUAUCAAGCACAUCUCUAAAGUGGACGCAAUGAUGAGGUCACCUGUCUCAUGGGAUAUGUGGGAAAUCUGACAGGUAUGUAUAUAUAAGACACAUAGACCCUGCUGUCACCUGCCUGGAAAAUCAGUUGUUAAACAUAAACCAGUUUACAGCACAGGGCCCUCCUUUAACCUGAUUCAGCCCACAGCCACCAUGUCUGAAUGUCCAUCUGGUCAACCUGCCUUGUACUACUACUUGUGAGGGACAGAAGCAGGUAGAG